rnacentral:rRNA from 1 species
GACAGAGGGUGCAACCGUUGUUCGGAAUUACUGGGCGUAAAGCGAGUGUAGGCGGUUUGAUAAGUCGGAUGUGAAAGCCCUGGGCUCAACCCAGGAAGUGCACUCGAUACUGUCAAGCUAGAGUAUCGGAGAGGUUGGUGGAAUUCUCGGUGUAGAGGUGAAAUUCGUAGAUAUCGAGAGGAACACCGGUGGCGAAGGCGGCCAACUGGACGAAUACUGACGCUGAGACUCGAAAGCGUGGGGAGCAAACAGG